CGGGAAUCCACCACUAGCUGGCGCCUAAGGCCGAGGCCGUCUGCGCAGGCGCUGUGGGCACCAGCUGUUGCAUUGUGGGUGGGAACGUUGAGGCGCUUGGCGUUCCGCUCAUUCUGUUAGCGGAACACUGGGCCUGUGGUAGCGCUCGACCUAGGCUUCGAGCGGGAGAGGUUGGUCCGCCAUGGAGGCCUCUGAAAACGCCGAGGCUGGUACCAGUGGACAGGCAGACAAUACUGGAGCUCUGCUUGUCCCUGAAUGUGUUGGUGUCCUUGGAGGCAGUGAAGGUUCGGGAACCGAAGGCGUUGUUGCCCAAGAACGACUUCCUGACGACGGGACAGGGUCGGGUCCACUGUCGCUUGAAGACGCCGUGGCUUUGGAGGUCGACUCUGGUCUUGAAGUGGUAGACUUCCGCCUUGUGGUGCCUUUCCGCUGUUAUGUGGAUGCCCGUAUUGCCUACAGGAAACUGGCCUCAGGAGCGGAGUACCUUGCACCUGGAGUGCAGAGGGAGAUGACAGUGAGUGGCAAAGACCUGAAUAUGUAAGUUCUGGGCAGCGCUGGGUUGCGGGGGCAGCGGGUGUUGGCCAGUGUCCGCCUCGUUGCCAAGCUGCAGUCUAAGGAGAGCGGGUGGUGUGCAGGGCGGGACAGGGGCGCCGUGAGCGAUACGCGGAAAGAUUGGGCAGAGCGGGAGACCUGAGCACUGUUGGAGUGAUUUUGUUUCCCUUCUUUUUAGCCAUUUAUCUGCAGAAAGUUCCUACCUUCUAGAGAUUUCUAUCGAUGCCUUGCUGAACCAGCUUUCCGAGGUGAUUCCUCAGUUCAAGAAGUACAGUCCUUAGUCUCUGGAUGAGCCUCAGCUGCAAAAGAGGAUUCAGUUUUCUUCAUCUAUCCUCUAACCCUGGGAAGUCCAUCUUUGCCUAGGUCAGGUUUUCCUGAGGUGCCCUCCCACUUUAUUUGGGAGGACCCUAUCGCUUCUUUGCAGUGUUAUGUGAUGCAAAAAUAUUUGUUCAUGCUGAAAAUAAAAUGAAAUGCUAUCCCAUGUCUGAAUUUCUUUUCAGCAUUUGGUCAUAUACAUAUCCUUGCCUGCGUCCUCAGAAGAAGAGAGCUUCUGGGAUUUAGACAAGGUAACUGAGGAUAAUUUGGGAAAUGGAAGAAUAUAAAAAUCAAUUAGCUCUUGCUGUUCAGCAUUAACUACUCUCAGCAUUUUGAAGCACAUUUCUACUUUUCGAGUUAAAUUCAUACAUGAAAUGUAUAGCAAUUGCAUAAAUGUAAAAUAUUUCAUUGGCAAGUUUAAUAUUAGAUAUUCC
rnacentral:lncRNA from 1 species